ensembl:misc_RNA 7SK 7SK RNA
GGAUGUGAGGGCGAUCUGGCUGCGACAUCUGUCACCCCAUUGAUCGCCAGGGUUGAUUUGGCUGAUCUGGCUGGCUAGGCGGGUGUCCCCCUCCUCCCUCACCGAUCCAUGUGCGUCCCUCCCGAAGCUGCGCUCUCGGUCGAAGAGGACGACCUUCCCCCCCCCUCCCCCGCCCCCAGGAGAGGACCGGUCUUCGGUCAAGGGUAUACGAGUAGCUGCGCUCCCCUGCUAGAACCUCCAAACAAGCUCUCAAGGUCCAGAUAAUAGUUGCUCAAUAAAUGCGUGUAUGUGUGUGUGUGUGUGUGUGUGUGUGUGUGUGUGUAUUUUAAUGAACAUCUCUUUAGCUCAGAAAAGGCUAUCUGGGUGACACUGAAUG